GACGAACGCUGGCGGCGUGCCUAAUACAUGCAAGUCGAACGCAGUGGGGACGGGUGAGUAACACGUGGGUAACCUCCCCUCAGAGGGGAUAACACUUGGAAACAGGUGCUAAACCGAUACUGAUUGAUGGACCCGCUGUGCAUUAGCGUGUUGGGGAGGUAACGGCUCACCAAGGCAACGAUGCAUAGCCGGCCUGAGAGGGUGAUCGGCCACACUGGGACUGAGACACGGCCCAGACUCAUACGGGUGGCAGCAGUAGGGAAUCUUCGGCAAUGGGCGAAAGUCUGACCGAGCAACGCCGCGUGAGUGAAGAAGGUUUUCGGAUCGUAAAACUCUGUUGUUAGAGAAGCGGUAUCUAACCAGAAAGCCACGGCUAACUACGUGCCAGCAGCCGCGGUAAUAC
rnacentral:rRNA from 1 species